rnacentral:rRNA from 1 species
CAAAGUUAAUAAGGGCGCACGGUGGAUGCCUUGGCACUAAGAGCCGAUGAAGGACGUGACUAACGACGAUAUUCUAGGGGGAGCAGUAAGUACGCAUUGAUCCCUAGGUCUCCGAAUGGGGAAACCCAGCUGCUACUAGCAGUUAUUCAUGAGUGAAUACAUAGCUCAUGUAAAGGUAACGCAGAGAACUGAAACAUCUAAGUACCUGCAGGAAGAGAAAGUAAAAACGAUUUCGUAAGUAGCGGCGAGCGAACGCGAAGAAGGGCAAACCAAGAAGCUUGCUUCUUGGGGUUGUAGGACUGCAACGUGGACUUAAGCAUUAUAGUCGAAUAACCUGGGAAGGUUAAUCAAAGAGGGUAAUAAUCCCGUAGACGAAAUAGCGCUUAUACCUAGCAGUAUCCUGAGUAGGGCUGGACACGCGAAAUCCAGUUUGAAUCCGGGAGGACCAUCUCCCAACCCUAAAUACUCCUUAGUGACCGAUAGUGAACCAGUACCGUGAGGGAAAGGUGAAAAGAACCCCGAGAGGGGAGUGAAAUAGCACCUGAAACCGUGUGCCUACAAGAAGUUCGAGCCCGUUAAUGGGUGAGAGCGUGCCUUUUGUAGAAUGAACCGGCGAGUUACGUUAUGAUGCGAGGUUAAGUUGAAGAGACGGAGCCGUAGGGAAACCGAGUCUGAAUAGGGCGACUUAGUAUCAUGAUGUAGACCCGAAACCUAGUGACCUAUCCAUGAGCAGGGUGAAGGUGUGGUAAGACGCACUGGAGGCCCGAACCAGGACACGUUGAAAAGUGUUUGGAUGACUUGUGGAUAGCGGAGAAAUUCCAAACGAACUGGGAGAUAGCUGGUUCUCUCCGAAAUAGCUUUAGGGCUAGCGUCGAAAUGUAAGUGUAUUGGAGGUAGAGCACUGUUUGGGUGAGGGGUCCGUCUAGGAUUACCAAUCUCAGAUAAACUCCGAAUGCUAAUACACAUGUUCGGCAGUCAGACUGCGAGUGCUAAGAUCCGUAGUCGAAAGGGAAACAGCCCAGACCAACAGCUAAGGUCCCAAAAUAUAUGUUAAGUGGAAAAGGAUGUGGGGUUGCACAGACAACUAGGAUGUUAGCUCAGAAGCAGCUAUCAUUCAAAGAGUGCGUAAUAGCUCACUAGUCGAGUGACCCUGCGCCGAAAAUGUACCGGGGCUAAACAUAUUACCGAAGCUUUGGAUUGAUAUUUUAUCAAUGGUAGGAGAGCGUUCUUAACCGCGAUGAAGGUAUACCGUGAGGAGUGCUGGAGCGUUAAGAAGUGAGAAUGCCGGUAUGAGUAGCGCAAGAUAAGUGAGAAUCUUAUCCACCGUAAGACUAAGGUUUCCAGGGGAAGGCUCGUCCGCCCUGGGUUAGUCGGGACCUAAGGCGAGGCCGAAAGGCGUAGUCGAUGGACAACUGGUUGAUAUUCCAGUACUAGAUAUGAUCGUGAUGGAGGGACGCAGUAGGCUAAGAGAUGCCAGUUAAUGGAUUCUGGUCUAAGCAGUGAGGUGUGAGAUGUGUCAAAUGCAUUUCUCUUUAACAUUGAGCUGUGAUGGGGAAGCAACUACGGUUGCGAACUCUCUGAUGUCACACUGCCAAGAAAAGCUUCUAGCGUAAAGUCAUAUCUACCCGUACCGCAAACCGACACAGGUAGUCGAGGCGAGUAGCCUCAGGUGAUCGAGAGAACUCUCGUUAAGGAACUCGGCAAAAUAGCCCCGUAACUUCGGGAGAAGGGGUGCUGGUGUAAAAGCCAGCCGCAGUGAAUAGGCCCAAGCAACUGUUUAUCAAAAACACAGCUCUCUGCUAAACCGCAAGGUGAUGUAUAGGGGGUGACGCCUGCCCGGUGCUGGAAGGUUAAGAGGAGUGCUUAGACGUAAGUCGAAGGUAUGAAUUGAAGCCCCAGUAAACGGCGGCCGUAACUAUAACGGUCCUAAGGUAGCGAAAUUCCUUGUCGGGUAAGUUCCGACCCGCACGAAAGGCGUAAUGAUUUGGGCACUGUCUCAACGAGAGACUCGGUGAAAUUUUAGUACCUGUGAAGAUGCAGGUUACCCGCGACAGGACGGAAAGACCCCAUGGAGCUUUACUGUAGUUUGAUAUUGAGUACCUGUAAGUCAUGUACAGGAUAGGUAGGAGCCAUUGAAAUAGGGACGCUAGUUUC